UCCAGGUUGUACCUGAGUGUGUGUGUGGCCACCACCACCUCAGUCCUCACUCUGACACACAUCGCUACAGGUGUGGCUCCCUUUUUCAAUAAAGACACACAGUGGGAGGACACCUAGAAGGAUCUGCAAGAGACAACCAUUCAACCUUUAAGUGCGCACUGGAUUAUAUGAGCUGUCUGAAGACCAAGGGACUUUACAUAGGAUAUCAUAUAAAACUUGACUGCUGAGGAAUUCCACAAGUUGAAAAGGAGUAUUCUUGGAGCCAGUUCAAGUCACCAGAGGAAACUAGAACAAACGUUGACAUCAAAGCUUCAGAUCAGAGCCUCAGAGCCUCAAUACCCAGUCUGAGAUCCAACACAUCAAACCAAAAGCCUGUCAAGAGAUUGACAGUCACAGACCCUAUCUGCCUGUGUUUUGUCCUCUCAGCCUUCCAUAAUCAGCCAUAAUGAAUUUGUCUCUGGACAACCCUUAUGGAGACGUGACCAUCCCUCGGGCCAAGCUACAUUCUGCAGAGGACAGCACGAUCAUCAUCAACCCCAUGGCUUUGGACAGUACCUACAGCAACCGCAACUCCUCCCUCAACCCCUACGGUGCCUUCAAACCCGGGGGGCAGUCGCCACCCCCCUCAGAAGGCAUCAAGGAUGGUGAUGGUGGCACCUCAAACACCCCUCGCUAUGAUGGCCAGACCUCCUACACAGUGAAGGAGGACACGGAAGAGGAGUUUGGACGCUGUCGGGCCUGCUGCUUUCGCUGCCGACGGAAGUAAACCGGCAACCUAGGCCCAGAUCAGGAAAUAGUCCUACAACGCCCCGGUCACAUAGGAUUCUGGGUAUAUGAACUAAGACAAUCAACGGACACUGUCUGAAGACACUGUCCAAUCUAGUGUUACCAGCUAGUUUAAAAGCCAAAAGCCAUUACUGGCGAAACAUGUAUAGUUUUUGAAGGAUUCAUGAGUGGUAUCAUUUAAAUUGUAUGCAAUUCCGAAAUCGAUUCUUCUUGGAUGCAAGAUGCCCUCACAGCCAGCAUGGCAGAAUCUGCCUUUGAAACAGAAGUCUUUCACAUAAGCCUUUCACUUAUGACUUUGUACGCUUGCUUUUUUUCUUCUGGUCAAACACGACUGUGCUAUAUUUAGCUAUGGAAAUUAUUUUUGCUAUAUUUAUACCCUAAUGUCUUUGUGCCUGAUUAGUUUUUGUCUGUCAGUGUUUGAAUUAUGUGAAAAAGGCCACCCUUGAGUGGAUGAUGCACCUAGCCAGUUUUCAGGAAGUGUUAGAGAGUAAGACAAGUGAUACAGUACACAAAUGUUAAGGAAUUAGAAUGUGAAUAACCCUUUACUUCCUCUCUCAAACUGACCCGUCACAAAAUAUGACAUUCUAGGCCUUUGGCUUGGCACUGACAGACCUGACCGAACCAGUGAGGUGAAACUAGAGGUGGGGCAGCUAGCUUAGAGGCUAGGGCAGUUUUUAUGGGCCUUACUGAUCAGUCCAGUCUCCCCAUUCCACACCAUAACACACCACUCCGUCCUGCUGAUCCGUCUGCUAGGCUGGUCCCUCUGCUGGGGAUGGUUUACAAUGCUGCCUUUGUGCGACUGGGUCCCAGGAAACCAGGCCACAGGUCCUGCAGCCCAGCCCCAACCCCAGUCAUUCUUCUCUGUGUAUGUGGUAGACAGCACCUUACUGUCCCUCCUGGACAAAAAUAGUUGAAACUAGAGGCCUGAUUCGUCUGACUGGAUGAGAAUUGAAAUGUAAUGUGAUCACACUCAUACUGUCUUGUUUGUUUGAGUUACACAAAACCAUCCAUAGUUUAGCCUUGUGAAACCGUUACUAAAAUUCUACUCUGCAUCAUUAGCUUUUAGAAAUUAUCUUUAAUUUUUAGCAAGCUAGUACAGCAUAUCAGGGUCACCUCAUCAUGAACUGGUUCCAUGUGUAAAAGCCUCUCUUAGUUCAAAACCCUAAGCCCCCAACAGGAUUACAUGGCAACACGUGCAUGAGUAUGAAUUGCUACAUUCUCUCCAGUCAGCGGUGGACUACAACUACUCAGCCCAAAGUUCAAGAUCCACUUACAAAUUCAUAACGUAUUGUACGAAUUGGAAUUCGUAAAACAUAUCUUUAAAAAUAUAUAUUUUGUUGUUGUUGUUGUGCAAUUCAUAACAUAUCACACGAAAUUGAUGACGUAGUACACAAUUGUGUACAAUUUUCAGGGACCCGUUUUGGCUUGUGGACACUACUUUUAAAACUACUGGCUGAAAUUAUUCAAAACCUCUGGAGCAACACUUUAAAGGCCACUAUCAAACAGCAAUAAAUGUAUAACAAAGACCUACACUGUGUAUGAUAGAUUGUUGUAAUAAGAAAGUGCAAUAAGAAAGAGGAAUGGAUUAAUUAUAUUGAAUUGAUUCUGAGUUGUGUGGCUGUGUUAUUAACUGUGUGUGAACUGCAUUGAAUAAUUAUUACUGUUAGAGUUUUAAAAGAUAAUGUGACUUAACCAAGACAAACUGCAGGCCCCAGAGCUUUUCCUGGUCAGGUCAUCUCUUAGGUGAGGAAAAACUCUUUCGUAAUUAUUGUUCAGCCCAAAUACAGUAUGGGCCUUUUUCAUGAUGGUGUGUACUGCAAUGUCUUACAAGGUUACUCCUGCAAUCUUCUUUCCACCCAUGACUAGGUUGUGGUGUAACAGUCACAUGACAGUGACGACAGAACCGGUUUAGGUUGAACCUGCUGUACUUCUGAGAGAAGGAGUAGUGCUACACUUCCUAGAAAUCAGAUAGUGUUCAAUUCAAUCAAACCUGUAUUAUGGUAUUUAUUCUGUAGUUCUUUUUCCCAGUCAAAUAAAAUAUUGGUUACUGUAAAAACUACAAGGUACAAGACUCUGUUGACAGGUAGAUGCUUAAUGUUGUCAAAAUAAUAAUUGUGCAAGUAGACAUAAAUAAAGACAGUGGGUAAACACUCAA